UGGUGUUGGUGACUGAGCUCUGACUUU
rnacentral:piRNA from 1 species